GGCUUCAUAGCUCAGCUGGUAGAGCAUGCGCGUACAAAGCGUAGGCGGUGUCCAAGCGUGGGUUCGAAUCCCACCGAGGCGA
rnacentral:tRNA from 1 species